rnacentral:pre_miRNA from 1 species
UUUUGAUUGUUGCUCAGAAGGCGUUGAUUUUCAAAAGCUUUCGAGCGAUGAUCAAAUGA